rnacentral:rRNA from 1 species
GAUGAACGCUGGCGGCGUGCCUAAUACAUGCAAGUCGAGCGAACAGACGAGGAGCUUGCUCCUCUGACGUUAGCGGCGGACGGGUGAGUAACACGUGGAUAACCUACUUAUAAGACUGGGAUAACUUCGGGAAACCGGAGCUAAUACCGGAUAAUAUAUUGAACCGCAUGGUUCAAUAGUGAAAGACGGUUUUGCUGUCACUUAUAGAUGGAUCCGCGCCGCAUUAGCUAGUUGGUAAGGUAACGGCUUACCAAGGCAACGAUGCGUAGCCGACCUGAGAGGGUGAUCGGCCACACUGGAACUGAGACACGGUCCAGACUCCUACGGGAGGCAGCAGUAGGGAAUCUUCGGCAAUGGGCGAAAGCCUGACGGAGCAACGCCGCGUGAGUGAUGAAGGUCUUCGGGUCGUAAAGCUCUGUUAUUAGGGAAGAAAAGAUGUGGGAGUAACUAUGCACGUCUUGACGGUACCUAAUGAGAAAGCACCGGCUAACUACGUG